rnacentral:rRNA from 1 species
CCCACAAUUUGGAUUGAACUAGCCCUUGCGAGUCUUUGUAGUAUACAAGGCAGACGGCUCAGUAACGCGUAGUCCAUUUACCCUAUGGACGGGGAUAACCUCGGGAAACUGAGAAUAAUACCCGAUAGAACAUUAUGCCUGGAAUGGUUUAUGUUCCAAAUGAUUUAUCGCCGUAGGAUGGGACUGCGGCCUAUCAGUUUGUUGGUGAGGUAAUGGCCCACCAAGACUAUUACAGGUACGGGCUCUGAGAGGAGUGGCCCGGAGAUGGGUACUGAGACACGGACCCAGGCCCUAUGGGGCGCAGCAGGCGAGAAAACUUUGCAAUGUGCGAAAGCACGACAAGGUUAAUCCGAGUGGUUUCUGCUAAAGAGACCUUUUGUCGGUCCUAGAAACACCGAUGAAUAAGGGGUGGGCAAGUUCUGGUGUCAGCCGCCGCGGUAAAACCAGCACCUCAAGUGGUCAGGAUGAUUAUUGGGCCUAAAGCAUCCGUAGCCGGCUCUGUUAGUUUUCGGUUAAAUCUGUACGCUCAACGUACAGGCUGCCGGGAAUACUGCAGAGCUAGGGAGUGGGAGAGGUAGACGGUACUCGGUAGGAAGGGGUAAAAUCCUUUGAUCUAUUGAUGACCACCUGUGGCGAAGGCGGUCUACCAGAACACGUCCGACGGUGAGGGAA